rnacentral:rRNA from 1 species
CUACGGGAGGCAGCAGUGGGGAAUCUUGGACAAUGGGCGCAAGCCUGAUCCAGCCAUGCCGCGUGAGUGAAGAAGGCCUUAGGGUUGUAGAGCUCUUUUACCAGGGACGAUAAUGACGGUACCCGCAGAAGAAGCCCCGGCAAACUUCGUGCCAGCAGCCGCGGUAAUACGAAGGGGGCUAGCGUUGUUCGGAAUCACUGGGCGUAAAGCGUAUGUAGGCGGAUCGUUAAGUCGGGGGUGAAAGCCCGAGGCUCAACCUCGGAACUGCCUUCGAUACUGGCGAUCUUGAGUCCGGGAGAGGUGAGUGGAACUGCGAGUGUAGAGGUGAAAUUCGUAGAUAUUCGCAAGAACACCAGUGGCGAAGGCGGCUCACUGGCCCGGUACUGACGCUGAGAUACGAAAGCGUGGGGAGCAAACAGGAUUAGAAACCCCGGUAGUCC